UACGUAGGGUCCGAGCGUUGUCCGGAAUUAUUGGGCGUAAAGAGCUCGUAGGCGGUUUGUCGCGUCUGCUGUGAAAUCCCGAGGCUCAACCUCGGGCCUGCAGUGGGUACGGGCAGACUGGAGUGCGGUAGGGGAGAAUGGAAUUCCUGGUGUAGCGGUGAAAUGCGCAGAUAUCAGGAGGAACACCGGUGGCGAAGGCGGGUCUCUGGGCCGAAAUUGACGCUGAGGAGCGAAAGCGUGGGGAGCGAACAGG
rnacentral:rRNA from 1 species